UGUACCAACCCCUGCUCCGCUGCAAGGCCUGUGCAGCCAGGAAUAGUGACAUCUCAGGGCCAGAUGGAGAGGAGACAAACAGAUCCUGAUCUGUAGUUCAGCAGAUGCAAACUAGAACUGGAAACGGGGAGAGGGAAGUUUGCUCCUUGAUGCUCAAGUAAUUUCUUGGGAGUUUGGGUUUCUUUUUUUCUUCAGUGACUCUAAUGUAAAAUGCGGAAGCAAUCCAUGGGACAAAAUGCCAGAACUGGUAUUUGCUUUUUCUGCUAAGUGAUCUGAUCUCUCUCCCCUAGUGUCUUUGUUUAUGGCUUCAUGACUGAUUUAGAAACCUAUCUACAAUGUCCAGUUAUCAUUUGUGUUGAUAUAAAAAAAAAAAAAUGGGAACGCUUAGUUUCAUCUUACGGUAGAUAUUUAAAAUGGUCAGUGAAAUGAGGUGCCUGCUUCUCGGGAACAGUAAAGUGAGCCUGCAAUGACCAGCUCAAACAUCUGCCAUGUACCCCUUCCAUGCACCCCUGGUCUCUUGCAAUUCUGUGAAUAAAAGUAGCUCAGGCCAGAUCUGGGUCUGCCAUUUAUAUAUCCCUGCUUUAGUUUGUUACAGAAAAAGCCACAAUUAGAUGGCCUUCAGUUUUCUUUCUUCAUGUGUUUCCAUCUAGUGUCUGAGUAGUAGCCACUACUAUUAAAAUGUUCCUCAGAUUUGUUAAGAAUGGAGAGAAUCUCUCUCCUAAAAACAAACAAACAAAAACCUAAACUAAACCAACCACGCAAACAAACAAAACCCCAGAAAUUCCCGCAGAGAAAGAAGCACACUGUGCUCUGUUAGUGAACUGUAUGUGGGGGAAGGCGCUGGAAGGAGAUCAAAGGCAGGGUCACUGCUUAAAAACAGUGUGCACACAGCUCCGAAUGACCACUUUACCCUGACCACAACCACCUAAAAACUGUUCAGAGUUGCAGUUUUACUCUCAGCAUGCAAGCUGGAUACACCCCAAAGCUCAAAUUGCAGCCCAGGAGACUGCAAACCCACAUGGACAGUAGGGCAUGCUGAAAGUCAGUUAAAUUAAUCCCACCAAAUGUAAGCACACUCAACUGCCCCUACUCUUAAAGCAAGAAGUAGUAGGAAGUAGGAGUAGAUGGUUGGGCCCUUCAUCCACAUGCAGACUCUAAAAUCUGGAUUGAAGACUGAAGUCCUUGAAAUAAAAUUCUUAGGAAUGAAUUGUCCUGAUGCGAAAGAAGAUCCUUGCCACCUCUUCCUCAGCACCUUUAUUCAGGAUGGUAUGUUUUGAAAAGCAAUGGAUAGGGUGUAUUGACCACUCUGAAAUCUUACAAAGACUCAGAGUGCAUGCCACUUCACCUCUCUUUGUUACAGGGAACUGGAACUGUGUGUCCACCUUUUGUACAAAACAGCUGCUAGGACUUGUAGUUAUAUUGAGUCCUAGCAAUAUAUAAUGUGUGCAAAAAAAAACACAAAACAAAAAAACAUAUACCCAUAGAAAAGCACAAUUUUGCUUUCUCUGAAUAGGAAUAAGAAACAAAAUGAAGAAUAGGUCAGGUCUUAACUCUUAUAAUACUUUUUUUUUUUGCUUUCUGACUGCAGAUGUGGGACAACAUCUUUGUGGCACUCUUUAUUGUCUACCUUGAAAGUGUGUAAGAUGUUCAAAACAAAGCUCAGUCCAUGUUUUCAAGCUUUACAGUUCCUUAAAAGUUGAACAAGGCUGGUUGAGUUUUGCACUGGUUCGGUUCUCUUGAUUGUGAUAGAGGAGAGACAGGGAGCCAAAAUACAGAACAAUGAGAAAAGAAUGGAAACUUUACAGGGAUGGUUCAUCUGGAUGUUGGGUGUCAAAAUCAUUGAGCAAGUGAAUUGCUGCAGAUUGGUGCUGUGACCUGUGCUGUAUGCGGAAUGCCCUGAUCCAAAUGGUGAGCCCAGUGAAGGGAAGGAGGGAGAACAGAGCUAAAGGGGGAUUGCUGCAAGGCUGCAUCUCUUUCCGCUGACAGCCACUUCUAGCUGUGCUUGUCAAUGCCAGUCACAAAUCUCCCAGAAAUUCCGGAAGUGCCCAUGGAACAGCUCUGCCCUCAUGUCUGAGUUACACAGUCUUAAUGUGUUGUUUCCUGAUUAAUAUCUUCUGGAGUAUCUCAUUUGUCAGUCUUGAGGUAAACAAAUUAUUAGGAGGUGUAUUAUAGCAGUAAUGCUUUUUGUAAAGCUUGGAGCAUUACUGAUUUAGCUGUGGCAGAGACAUUCAGUGAAAUUCACUGUGAGGCUGUGCCUUUUCUUAGACCAGGAAAUCACUCAGCUGACACUACUAUAAAACAUUUGAUAGUUAUUAAGUGGUUUUCCAGUAAUUUUUCAGUGCUCAGCAGAAAACAUUAUCAUAACUGAUGUACACUAAUUUUCUCUUGUUUAUAUGUCUAUGUAGCAUAACCUCCAUUAAAGUGCCAUUACAUUUGUGGAAAAGAUUCUGUAAAAAUGACCUGGUGGUCUUCCAAAUUUAUUCUUUCAAUGACUCCAGCUCAAAUUUGCCUACUUUAAACAACAUAUUUUAAAAUUGUCAGUGUUGUGGAUUCCACCUGGGAUCAAGUUGUGUUCUUUCUGUGUUGCACUAAUGAUGAAGAUGAUUUAAUUACUUAGCUGACAAUGUUAUUAAUGAUGCGCAUGAGAGAAGAGAGUCAGGCCUUGGUGCCUUGCUCUCAUUUCAGGACUUGUCGUAACUGUAGGAUGUUAACAGAGGGAAAAUCUGUGUUGGUUUGUCAAAGUGAGAAGAUAUAUCUGGGUGACAAAGACUGUGUUUAGCUGGAAGGUGCCAUAAUGAAGUUUUUCUAAUCGUUGUGAUAUCUUAAGGCUAAUGAGAGUUUAGCAUCUUAAAUUACUAAAAAGCUCGCUUCAUUGGUGAUUGUCCUCUGUUUUCUUCAACUUUGACUCUGGAGAACUUCUGUAAGAGUAACCUGAAACCAUAAAACCCAUCCCAGAUUUUUUUUUGUGUUACUGUUGGACAUUGGCCAGGAUCCAUCAGAAUGUGCUUCAUCGCUCAUCACUGCUCUAUCAGUGCUCUCCUCGUCUCCAUCAGUCCAGAGAUCAUUUACUGUCCAUUUUGCGGCUUCCCCAGAAGUAGUAGGUCUGUCUGCAUUCAAAGAUUUUGCAUAUCCAGCUUUGCAUAUGCAGCUAAGCGCGCAGGAAGAGAAAAAACAUACCACUAAUUAAACCAGUGGUUCUGGUAAAUGUUUCUAUACCAGGAAAAGCUAUAUUGAGAGAUACAACUUAAGUCACUUGGAUAGCUGGUAUAAACAUUGCUAGCAAAAAAUUUCCUGCCAGUAGACACCACAUCUCCACUAGGGCAGUUUAUAGCGCAAGCUACAUCUGUGAAUACUUCGUCCUACAGAGAAGGCCCUAUUCAGAGGGUGAAGGUACUGUGAUGCUAAAAGCUUGGGUUCAGCUGAGCACCUGAGGCUGGUGUGCUGCUGUGGGGCGCACGGUGGCUCUGUAAGAUCACUGUGGGGAUGGGGACAAAAUGUGGUUCUGCUCUGGUCAGCUUUGUCCUGUUUGUGUGGUCCACCAUAAUCCGUCCUGAUGACCUUCCUACUGGUGCUGCUAUAUGUUUGUUUGAUGCAAAACUUGGAAUCUGGAGAUCAAAUGCACGGUGGGUUAUAGGUAGUAGUCUUUCCACAGAGCACACAGCAGAGCCAGAGAAUGUGACAUCAGGCUUCAUGUCCCCACUCUUCAGUCAGGCAGCAAUGAGCAUCAUCAGUGGUUUGUACAAACAUAAAAUUGUCAUCAGAAAUAAUUAGCUUCUCUCUGGCCUGGAACAGUCUGGACUUUUUCAUUAUUGCUGUUAUUAUACUUGAACUAGAUGGCAAUAAGUGGAGUCAGGCCACACUAGAAACAAGAAUGCACGACCUACGUUUUUAAAAAUGCUAGUGAUCCAAAUGAAGUGGGAAUAAGGUGCAGAAGAAUGAAAGCUCCCAUUCAUGGAGCUUUUGUGGCUUUACGAGGGAAAUAUGUCUUAACAUGAGCUUAAUUUGAGGGGAAUGCACACAAGGAUUAAUCUAUUAAUUAUAAUCAAAUUAAAGGAAAAUGUUAUUAUAUAUUUUAAACAAUCCCUGGCAGGGCCACUGCUAUCACAGUUAAUGUUUAGAACUGAAAAAAGAAGUGAAGCCACAGUUUUCACUCUUUAUCUGCUUUUGUGUGUAUGUGUUUAACUCGGCUUAGAGUAUGAAUUUACUAGACUUGUCUGGUUCACUUUCCUUUAUGGGCAGUGCAAUGUUCUGGUUUUCAUAUACUAUAAAAGUAGUGAUGCCACAAAAUUACAAAGGAAAUGCUUUGGUCCCUCAGUAUAGAUAUAAUUAAAUCCAACUAAACUAUUUUCAUAGCCUGAGCUGAGGAAUCUUAAAUAAAAUAAACAAGCCACUCAGCUAAUAACGUAAAGAUCAUUUUUAGCGCCAUAUUAUCAGACCAUUGAUGAGAAUUUUCAGUUGUGUAUUUAAAUUCAAACCUUUUCUUUAACAAAACAUACAGUCAUUUUCGUGUGGUAUAAUGUCUGCAACCAACUGUACCUAACAGGACUGUAAUCCUGUUGAGCUGCUGUAAUGGCAUGAACCACAAAAGCAAAACCUGAGUGGUUUAUCAAUGUCAGCAAACUCCCAGAUGGAAUUACAGUCUUAUGCACACUGUUCAGUUGUAUGCUAUUCAUUAUAACAUAUGACAAAAAUUAUGCUUCUAUUAAAAAUACUCAGAUGAGAAUAUGUGUUGUUGAAGUGGGGCUUGUUUAAACAGCAGAAAUAAUCCACUGGUGCAAAGCAGGAUCAUUUUCAGUGCAGGAUGUGGCCUGCUGCACAGUACCUUUUCAGGCAUAUUUACAGGAUGAUGGAGAUUGAUUCAAACUCUGAAAGAAAUAUAGUGCUUCAGGCUCAGUAGCGUGUUUCUGGUUAUGAUGCCUCAGCUGAAAUUUUCUUUUGUUAUCUGCCUCAGGGAAAUCUGGCUGCCUCUGAAGAAAGUAUGAGCUGGAGCACAGCACUGGGAUUCUCUGUGAAAUAAACCAUGAGAAUCACCAGCCAGAGAAGUCCUUCGGGAUCUGUCAGGACUUCCUAACAGUGUGGCAACACUUGUAGGAUGUAUUAAAGUAAUGCAGAUUUUGCAGAUUUCAUCCCAGUGACUCCCGAGAUCUUGUCCUUCACAAGUUUUCCUCAUGUAAAUGCCCAAAUUGAAAGCUUUGUUUCAGAUUUCUCCCUGCUAGUGGGAGAGAAUUUUGUGGCCUGUGGACCAAGAAGACAAUGACAGACCUGUGGUCUUGGUUUUUCUGUGGUGAAAAGCCAGAACAGCUCAAGGAUAGACCCACAGAGAAAGGUUUAACACUGCUGUUUACAUGGUCCUCGGGGUACAGAUGUUCUGCUGGGUAUUUCUGUCACUCUGACAAGCAGGCAGCAUUUUGUUCUCAUCAGGAUUUCCAAAUGUUUGGGAUAUUGGAGCAGAAGAAACUAUAUCUUUCUAGAGAUUAUUUUUAUGGAAUGUAUUAUGAAAAGAGGUCCUUAGGAAAUAGCAAGUCACCAGAAUGCUUAUUAAAAUGACCUUAAGGUCAGAUUCUGCCACUGUUAAUCACAAUAGUUGUUCCUUACUCUGUGAGCUUUCCCACUGGUUUCAGUGGGAUUACUCAAGGAAUUUGGAUACUACCUGAUGGGACCAAAGUGGCAGCAAGAAUGGCCUUAAUAAUUGUAGCAGCUGUAACACAACGUGCCUUUGUUUUUACCUUACAUUUUAGUUAAAAAUAUGUUGCAUGACAUUUGUUUUCUUCUGAGGAUUCCCUCUUCAAAAAGAUGAAAUUUUAUCUAACAAAUGUAUUCUGUCAUUUUUGUCAUCAGUACUUUAAUAUAUUUAUUGUUGUAGUGUGAUGUCAUCUUUGCUGAGAAUAUGCUUCAGGGUUAGAAUCUCUCCCUUUUUUGUUUUAAAGAACUGUGUAAUAGGAAAAAGAAAAUAAUUUUACUCUGAACUCUCCUUGAAAUCUUUCAGGUUUCACAAAUGUAUUUUCCAGAGUUUGUUUGUAUUUCUGUUCUAUUUUAAGCCACUUCUGCUAAGUAGCCUAAUUUAGAACUGAGCAAUACUUCCUACUCUUUCUGACAUUGUAAGUAGCGGACUCGACUCAGUAUUCCAACAGCUGCAUGAAACAGAAUGGGAAUGCUACACAAUUCUGAAUAUAAUUGGGAAACUUACUGAUGAAGAAUCAUUUAAUUCCACAAAUUAAAGUGAUGAGGACUUACUUACAUAAUUUUAUGCACUGAGAGAUGCAGGAAUUAUUUUUUUUUCUUCACACUGGAAAAGAAAACAAAUUUGGCCGAGGUUUCACUCUAAUUAAAUAGGUUCUUUUCAAGCAGUCACACCAACCACUUCAUAGGGCGUUUGUGAGCACAUUCUUAGCUUUGAGCAUUAGUUCAGGUUGUUGAACUCAAGGACUUGAGCAAUGCAAUAAGAUAUUUUACUAAAAAGAGCUUCAGUUUUUCAAAAUAAUAUAGGGUUGUUCUCUUUUUUUGCCUUUUUUUAAAGCCAGUAAAUAUAAAAUUGCUCAAAUACAGAGUAAUUCUGUGACAAACCUAGUAAUGUGGUCUGCAUUGUGGAAGCAUAGGUGUUUACAUCAGAACUUUUAGCCUCUGUACUAGCCUUGUUCUCAAGGAUGAACAUAUCCCUGUCUAGUCUAACUGUGAAAUAAUUCACAUCAGUCAUUGAAACUGACCCUUUUGAAAAGACUUUAAUAAUGAUUUGACUGUAAUCAGGAGUGUACUAUGCAAACUUAAUCCAGAAGAAAUCAAAUGUCAGUGUGCAAAUAAAAUACAUGGUUAUGUACUGUUUUCCCAUGUCCUGCUGAUGUGACUGCAGUUGCUAAGAUGUGGAAACAACCAUGAUUACAGAAAAUAAGAAGACAGUUUAAAGUAAGUGUAAGUUUGAAUGAUGUCACAUGAAAAGAGGAUUGUUUUGCUUCUUUCCUUGAGCCAAACUGUGCCUUAAGUAUGUAUGUGAGUUAUUCUUGCAAGUUUUGUGGAUAUAACGGUGAAAAAUCUGGUGUAACGUUCAACUAAGCAAGAAUAAUUAUUUCUUAUUUGUUAUUUUUCUCAGUGUAAAAUGUUUUCCUCAAAUAGAAGGAGAGCCAAAGAAAUUUCUUGUUAUUUUUGAACAUAGGUUAUUCAAUGUGAUCCAUUAACAGGCAACUUCUAUGCUGAAAAUACUGCUGAACUAUUUGGAUAAUAUUUCUGUAGAAUUACAGAAUUCAGAGGAGCAUUGAGUUCAUAUCAUAUUAUACUUAAAAGGAAAAUGUCAAUUACUAAUUACAUUUAUCAGUUCUGGAGGAGAAAAAUUCUGUAUCAUCCAUUCUGCUUUUGACAGUGCAAGGUUGUUUUUACUGUUAGCUAUAAAGGUUUCUGUCCAGUGCAGUACUAACAGCUCAAAAGUUGAAGGCUGCAUUACUCUCCUAAAGAGUUCUUUUGUACACCAACAUCUCAGCCUCUGAGGAGUACUUCUUUGCCUUACUGUUAACUGUAUGGUUCCUCUUGCCUAUCCUAUAGUGUUUCUUAUCUUAUAGUGGUAUGUAUUUUUAUGUCUAAUUUAUCCCUUUAAGAGACAUUUCAGAUCUUCAAAAUACUUGUAAGUUACUUUUACCUUUGAAAUAGCCAGUAGCCAAGUUAUACUCAUACUGCUCUGUAGAUUUCAUAGAAACACAGAAUCAUAGGAUAUCCUGAAUUGGAAUAGACUUAAAAGGAUCAUUGAGUUCAACUCCUGGCUCCACACAGGACCACUCAGAAUUUAAACCUUAUGUGUGAGAGUGUUGUCCAAAUGCUUCUUGAACUCUGGCAGCUUGGGACUGUGACCCUGGGCAGCCUGUUCCAUGCCCACUGCCCUCUGGUGAAGAACCUUUUCCUAACCCCCACCUGAC